AACAGCUGCAUGAUUAUGCUUGCAACUCAUUCUUUGCAUGCUGAUUGAGUUUUUGAGUGCUUAAUUUCUUCCAUGUGUGUAAUGAAACCUUGAAUUUCAUAUCUUUAGUUUGUUGGCUUCAUAAAUUGAUGUCAUUAGUUUCAUUUCUAUUAUGAGGAAGGUUAUGCUGAUAGGGGUGUCUAUGGGUUAGGUCAGACCAAACCGAGCCAUGGCUAGGUCGGCCAGAUUUUUAUUCCUCAAAACCAAGGUCAGCUUGACUGAAGGUACCAGGCAUGGGCACGGGAGCUUGCCAAUUUUGUUUCUGGCCAUGCUCAAAACAGGCAUUAUUCAAUUUUUAUCAUAAAACAUUGCGGCACAAACUUUCGACUUUCUAGGCCCAAUUGGGCUUUAGGGCCCAAAAGUUGACUUUGGGCCUAGUUAUUCUGGGUCAGAUCUUUGAGCUACUUGGACUGUCCCAUUAAAAGCCUUACAUGACAAAGAAGGCUCUUCGAAAUGCAGUUUGAUUUUAUCCUGUAUUAGAGUUUCUAUAGAAAACCUAACUCUGAACAUAAAUUCCAUUUUUUUCAAUUUUUAUUUUUAAUUGUUUUGCUAUAGUUUAGGACAGUGAGAUGAACUGCUUGUUAUUGGUUCAUUUUUGCAUGUUGGAGCAGGCAGUGUUGUCGAAAGUGCUCCAUCCAUUUGUCUAAGUGAUUGGGAGAGGCAAGGAAACGUCUGAGCACCUUAACAAUCCCUAAGCGAGGCUGGUUUACCAAGGGCACCUAGGCAAGCACCUAGGGCAAAGCGAGAGGCAUUUAGGUUUCGUGGAGCAUGCUUACCCAAAUCAUCUAAUGUGUCCAUCAUUUCACACCCUCGGCAUUUCAUCGCUGCCAGAUACUCCACAGCCGAGCCAGGUCCAUCUAAAAUAUUAAUGAGUUUGUUAUUAAGCCUUGCUAUUAGAACCGUCUAACCAUUCCGAUUUCAAAAUUGGGCAUAUUUCAAUUAUCAUCAAUAGAAUCAGCAUUACAAGUUUUGACCUAUCAUGCUCAUAUUUGCCCGACUGCUGGAACGGAGAAGUGUUCUUUUUUUUUUUUUUUUUUGUAGGUUUAAGUAGUAUGCUGUUGCUCUACUCUCCAUUAACUAAUAGCUGCAAUUCUGCUACUGGUAAUUCAUCUCACUCUCUUAGAUCCCAAUGUUGUGUAAGCUUGAAACUGGCCAUCUGAUCUCAUUGGUAAGUAAAUUGUUGUUGGCCGGUUACA